AUAAUAAUUGAUGUAAUAACACAGGGUAUUUUCUGAUAUUAAAUCCACACGCAUUUGAAUGCAUGGACUAAACCACGCCUCGUUUAUGCAGUCUAAUCAAGACCAGUAACUUGCUAAUUAUCUUGCAUGCACACAUUUUCCAUGAUCCCAGGGUGGGGCAAAGAAAACAGCCAGUGCAACAGGACUUUAACCAGAGAGACAACACGGGUUAGACAACGUUUAACUUGAAGCUGAAUGGUUACACAAACGACAUGUACUAUGCUUUGUCUGUCAAUAAUCGUCCCUUUGGUUAGCGUGUAGCUUCGUGAAUAAUUACCCAGCCUUAAAUGCAAAUAAGGGCGACCUUAUAGACAAACAAAGGUGAGAUGAUGUGGAGACAUAAUGGACUGGGUGAUGGGGUAGCUACUGUUAUGACAGUUUCCGUUAGGACACUUUGUGCUCUUUGGUGGGCACACAUUAUUUAAUAACCUACGUUAACUUAACGCCACCAUUAAAAUAAGGACACUCAAUUAGUGGCUCUCCACCGCGGACGCCGACAGGGGGUGCUGUUUGUGCAAACUCCAUCCAGCGAGGAGGUGACGGUGAACCGCAGACACAUCUUGUGGAGCAACAUUUGCCAUGAUGCAGCUGCUGCUCCCUCCUGUUCACGCUGAUCUCAGUCCAGUUCAUGCAAAUGAAUGGAUGAGGACAGGUUUAAAAGGACCAUUCCACAUAAAAAUGUACGGACAGGGACAGAAGUGGGGCAGAAGUGGUGUCA